rnacentral:rRNA from 1 species
GGGUUGUGAGGUUAAGCGACUAAGCGUACACGGUGGAUGCCCUGGCAGUCAGAGGCGAUGAAGGACGUGCUAAUCUGCGAUAAGCGUCGGUAAGGUGAUAUGAACCGUUAUAACCGGCGAUUUCCGAAUGGGGAAACCCAGUGUGAUUCGUCACACUAUCAUUAACUGAAUCCAUAGGUUAAUGAGGCGAACCGGGGGAACUGAAACAUCUAAGUACCCCGAGGAAAAGAAAUCAACCGAGAUUCCCCCAGUAGCGGCGAGCGAACGGGGAGCAGCCCAGAGCCUGAAUCAGUGUGUGUGUUAGUGGAAGCGUCUGGAAAGGCGCGCGAUACAGGGUGACAGCCCCGUACACAAAAAUGCACAUGCUGUGAGCUCGAUGAGUAGGGCGGGACACGUGGUAUCCUGUCUGAAUAUGGGGGGACCAUCCUCCAAGGCUAAAUACUCCUGACUGACCGAUAGUGAACCAGUACCGUGAGGGAAAGGCGAAAAGAACCCCGGCGAGGGGAGUGAAAAAGAACCUGAAACCGUGUACGUACAAGCAGUGGGAGCACAGAGCAAUCUGUGUGACUGCGUACCUUUUGUAUAAUGGGUCAGCGACUUAUAUUCUGUAGCAAGGUUAACCGAAUAGGGGAGCCGAAGGGAAACCGAGUCUUAACUGGGCGUUAAGUUGCAGGGUAUAGACCCGAAACCCGGUGAUCUAGCCAUGGGCAGGUUGAAGGUUGGGUAACACUAACUGGAGGACCGAACCGACUAAUGUUGAAAAAUUAGCGGAUGACUUGUGGCUGGGGGUGAAAGGCCAAUCAAACCGGGAGAUAGCUGGUUCUCCCCGAAAGCUAUUUAGGUAGCGCCUCGUGAAUUCAUCUCCGGGGGUAGAGCACUGUUUCGGCAAGGGGGUCAUCCCGACUUACCAACCCGAUGCAAACUACGAAUACCGGAGAAUGUUAUCACGGGAGACACACGGCGGGUGCUAACGUCCGUCGUGAAGAGGGAAACAACCCAGACCGCCAGCUAAGGUCCCAAAGUCAUGGUUAAGUGGGAAACGAUGUGGGAAGGCCCAGACAGCCAGGAUGUUGGCUUAGAAGCAGCCAUCAUUUAAAGAAAGCGUAAUAGCUCACUGGUCGAGUCGGCCUGCGCGGAAGAUGUAACGGGGCUAAACCAUGCACCGAAGCUGCGGCAGCGACGCUUAUGCGUUGUUGGGUAGGGGAGCGUUCUGUAAGCCUGCGAAGGUGUGCUGUGAGGCAUGCUGGAGGUAUCAGAAGUGCGAAUGCUGACAUAAGUAACGAUAAAGCGGGUGAAAAGCCCGCUCGCCGGAAGACCAAGGGUUCCUGUCCAACGUUAAUCGGGGCAGGGUGAGUCGACCCCUAAGGCGAGGCCGAAAGGCGUAGUCGAUGGGAAACAGGUUAAUAUUCCUGUACUUGGUGUUACUGCGAAGGGGGGACGGAGAAGGCUAUGUUGGCCGGGCGACGGUUGUCCCGGUUUAAGCGUGUAGGCUGGUUUUCCAGGCAAAUCCGGAAAAUCAAGGCUGAGGCGUGAUGACGAGGCACUACGGUGCUGAAGCAACAAAUGCCCUGCUUCCAGGAAAAGCCUCUAAGCAUCAGGUAACAUCAAAUCGUACCCCAAACCGACACAGGUGGUCAGGUAGAGAAUACCAAGGCGCUUGAGAGAACUCGGGUGAAGGAACUAGGCAAAAUGGUGCCGUAACUUCGGGAGAAGGCACGCUGAUAUGUAGGUGAAGUCCCUCGCGGAUGGAGCUGAAAUCAGUCGAAGAUACCAGCUGGCUGCAACUGUUUAUUAAAAACACAGCACUGUGCAAACACGAAAGUGGACGUAUACGGUGUGACGCCUGCCCGGUGCCGGAAGGUUAAUUGAUGGGGUCAGCGCAAGCGAAGCUCUUGAUCGAAGCCCCGGUAAACGGCGGCCGUAACUAUAACGGUCCUAAGGUAGCGAAAUUCCUUGUCGGGUAAGUUCCGACCUGCACGAAUGGCGUAAUGAUGGCCAGGCUGUCUCCACCCGAGACUCAGUGAAAUUGAACUCGCUGUGAAGAUGCAGUGUACCCGCGGCAAGACGGAAAGACCCCGUGAACCUUUACUAUAGCUUGACACUGAACAUUGAGCCUUGAUGUGUAGGAUAGGUGGGAGGCUUUGAAGUGUGGACGCCAGUCUGCAUGGAGCCGACCUUGAAAUACCACCCUUUAAUGUUUGAUGUUCUAACGUUGACCCGUAAUCCGGGUUGCGGACAGUGUCUGGUGGGUAGUUUGACUGGGGCGGUCUCCUCCUAAAGAGUAACGGAGGAGCACGAAGGUUGGCUAAUCCUGGUCGGACAUCAGGAGGUUAGUGCAAUGGCAUAAGCCAGCUUGACUGCGAGCGUGACGGCGCGAGCAGGUGCGAAAGCAGGUCAUAGUGAUCCGGUGGUUCUGAAUGGAAGGGCCAUCGCUCAACGGAUAAAAGGUACUCCGGGGAUAACAGGCUGAUACCGCCCAAGAGUUCAUAUCGACGGCGGUGUUUGGCACCUCGAUGUCGGCUCAUCACAUCCUGGGGCUGAAGUAGGUCCCAAGGGUAUGGCUGUUCGCCAUUUAAAGUGGUACGCGAGCUGGGUUUAGAACGUCGUGAGACAGUUCGGUCCCUAUCUGCCGUGGGCGCUGGAGAACUGAGGGGGGCUGCUCCUAGUACGAGAGGACCGGAGUGGACGCAUCACUGGUGUUCGGGUUGUCAUGCCAAUGGCACUGCCCGGUAGCUAAAUGCGGAAGAGAUAAGUGCUGAAAGCAUCUAAGCACGAAACUUGCCCCGAGAUGAGUUCUCCCUGACUCCUUGAGAGUCCUGAAGGAACGUUGAAGACGACGACGUUGAUAGGCCGGGUGUGUAAGCGCAGCGAUGCGUUGAGCUAACCGGUACUAAUGAACCGUGAGGCUUAACCUUACAACGCCGAAGGUGUUU